UACGAAGGGGGCUAGCGUUGCUCGGAAUCACUGGGCGUAAAGGGUGCGUAGGCGGGUCUUAAGUCAGAGGUGAAAUCCUGGAGCUCAACUCCAGAACUGCCUUUGAUACUGAAGAUCUUGAGUUCGGGGAGAGGUGAGUGGAACUGCGAGUGUAGAGGUGAAAUUCGUAGAUAUUCGCAAGAACACCAGUGGCGAAGGCGGCUCACUGGCCCGAUACUGACGCUGAGGCGCGAAAGCGUGGGGAGCAAACAGG
rnacentral:rRNA from 1 species